rnacentral:rRNA from 1 species
GGCCACAGCCAUGUCACCCUGCAGCCCAAGACCGGUUACACACUGAAGCUAAGCAGGGCUGAGCCUGGUAAGUACCUGGAUGGGAGACCACUAGGGAACACUAGGUUGCUGUUGGAA